GAUGAACGCUGGCGGCGUGCCUAACACAUGCAAGUCGAGCGAACAGACGAUGAGCUUGUUCCCCUGACGUUAGCGGCUGACGGGCGAGUAACACGUGGAUAACCUACCUCUAAUACUUGGAUAACUUCGGGAAACCGGAUCCAAUACUAGCUCAUAUAUCGAACCGGUUGGUUCAGUAGUUCAUGGCACCUUUGCCGUUUCUAUGAGACGAUUUCGCGUUGGAUUAGCUAGUUGGUAAGGUAAAGGCCUACCAAGGCGACGAUGCGUAGCUGAGCUGAGAGGAUGAUCAGCAACACUGGAACUGAGACACGGUCCAGACUCCUACGGGAGGCAGCAGUGGGGAAUAUUGGACAAUGGGGGCAAGCCUGAUCCAGCCAUAACGCGUGGGUGAAGAAGGCCUUCGGGUUUUAAAGCCCGUUUGUUGGGAAAGAAAAGCAGCAGGUUAAUACCCCGCUGUUCUGACGGUACCCAAAGAAUAAGCACCGGCUAACUUCGUA
rnacentral:rRNA from 1 species